rnacentral:misc_RNA from 1 species
GAAAUGCGAUACGUAGUGUGAAUUGCAGAAAUACGUGAACCAUCGAAUCUUUGAACGCAUAUUGCGCUCGAGGCUUCGGCCAAGAGCAUGUCUGCCUCAGCGUCGGGUUAAUCCUCGCCCUACCAAUCCAUGGAUUGAUGGGUGGAUCUGGCUUUCCCAGGCCUUGUGUCUGGGUUCGCUGAAGCACAGAGGUUGAUGCAUGGACCCGAUAAGGGCCGCAACUGGGUAAGCAACUUGUUGCUGAUGCUUUAGUUGUUGGCUUGGGACUGUGCUGUCGACCCGAAAUCAGGAAGGGCUUCGGCUCUAUUAACCUUUAUCUCGACCUGAGCUCAGGCAAGAACACCCGCUGAACUUAA